UCAGUUCCGGCUGUCUCUCGACCUUAAUAUUUGUACUAAGUAGCAGUUCUUCUCGUGCCUAUCCAUCUUGUAAAAGAAAAUAAUUGCAAUUGUUGUGCAUACAAUAGUAGAGUGAAGGUGGGAUAGAUGCUAACAUGAAAAUUCCAAGAAUUUAUCAGAACUAGAAUUAGAAUUUAGAUUAAGGUUUAAGAAAAUUGAUCAUAAAAAUUGUCCUAGAAUACCUCUGGAAUUUCCUCCUGAUGACCACUCAGGUAUUUGCCAGCAUUCCUUGGGUGAUUGCAGGGAAUAAUUCCUGUAUUGGCCACAAGAUGUCACUGAGCUCCACAGAUUGCUAGAGAGACUGGGCAAGCAGCCAAGGACGGAAAUUCAGAUAUUUUCAGUUACUGGUUUGUGUACAGCUUUCCAAGUGGCGGGAGGAUGUCUCUAAACUGGAAUGAGACCCACAGUUGGAGACUUUGGGCAGGGCGGCCUUGACACCAGGACAGGUGCUGGCAACGGACAAACUCCUUGCCGGAAGAAAGGGAAACCGCUGGACUGUGGUUUACCCUCAUUUCCUGGUAUCUUUGCUAAACUCCCUUUUCCUGCCGGCCUUGCUGAGCAAGAGAGCCCUGCUGCAGAGGUGGCAAGGGGAGGUGACAUCAGAGGCCCAACCAUCACUCCCAAGAAGAGGAGGCUCGGAAUUUUUGUCUUCAGUCCUAAGACCACAUCAUUCAGCUGGAGUAAUCCCUUCUCACUGUAACCUGCCAUGACCCCCACAGUGUUUUGUGUGAUGCUUUGCCUGCUAAGAGCAGACCUCACAGAUGCUGGAAUUACCCAGACACCUAGAUACUGGAUCACACAGACAGGAAGAAAGAUGACCCUGGAAUGCUCCCAGGAUAUGAACCACUAUUGGAUGUUCUGGUAUCGACAAGAUGCAGGACAGGGGUUGAAGCUGCUCCAUUACUCAGGAAGUGUUGGCAGCACUGACAAAGGAGAUGUCCCCGAAGGGUACAGUGUCUCCAGAAACAAGAGCGAGGAUUUCCCCCUGACGUUAGAGUUGACCAGACCCAGCCAGACCUCCGUGUACUUCUGUGCCAGCAGUGAACACAGCACUGCACAGCCAGGUGUUCCCUGCACAAGAAGCACAACCACGAGGUUGAGGGUCCCCCUUCUUCAGCCCCUGUGCCAACCAAAAGCAAGGUCUGAACUUCCUGAAGAUCUUCCUACCCGGAGGGACCUUGUGCAGCAUGAGUCUUAGUGUGAGCCAAGGGCCACUAAGUAUGUAAAUCCAAAUGAUAUUGGAUAUUACCUUUUCCAGUUUGGAGUCUUCUAGUAACUGAGUAGAGCGGAUAUCAGUUUCCAACAUGACAUUUGUAUUUUGUUUUCUUUGCAAAAGAGGAAAACAACAUAGAAAGUAUUAGAGCACUCUGAAUGUCUCAAAUCAUCUGGGAUUCUCCAAGUUCAAAGCUAGUGCAAAAUGUCAUUUUGGCCUCGAGUCUAUCAAAUCCACCGUUAUUCCUCUGCAGAAAACAGUGUUAAUGUAAGUUAAAAUUAUACAAGUCAACAGACCUCAAGCUGGAGAAUUACUGAAGAGAGAACAAACUAAGGAGCCAUGGAGACAGAACGAUGUGUUUAGUCUUACUCAGGCAGAUCCAGAUAGGAAACUAAUAGUUAAUUUCUUUGUGUUGAAUUAAAAUAUGUGAAGACGUCAAUGUUCUUCCUUGUGAAUAUCGAGUAAGCACCCUUCCCCAAGCUUGCCUCACUCCUUAGCACCUACAUGCAGGCAUC